rnacentral:lncRNA from 1 species
CACAACCUUAAAUUCCUAGAUCCGCCACUGUUCCUUCUCCUAGUAGCGAACGGCGCCGACAAGGUAAUCACCGGCGAACCCCAUCGAAGACGACAACAACAACAACGAACCCUCACAUCUCUAUUCUUCUCCUCUUCAGCGAAGUUCUUGUAAUCCAAGUAUUUGAUUAACCAUCAUUCAUGCAUAACAGUACUUAUAAUAAAGCUAAAUUGAAGUUUACCUGGACUUCUACCUGGUCCAACAAUUUCUCAAACACGUAUGUAAAUAACUCUAAUAUUCGAACUCUAGGUUGGAAGGAGAAACAAUGUCCCUGAAUGUAGUUUUAUUAGGAAUCUAGACUCUCUAGUGAAAAAUUAACUCUCGACUCACUUGAGUAUUUUUUUUUACAAUAUGAAACUGACACUCUGAAACAAUAAAGUGUUGCGGAAGCCGAAUAUAUAGAGAGUGAUGGAAUCACAACUACUAUAUCUAAAGGUAGCUAAUAAAUAGUAAAUGAGACAACAAGAGAAAGAACACCAGGAAUUAACGAGGUUCGGCAAACUUUUGUUUUCUUUUGCCUACUCCUCGGACACAACCAACCAAUAUUUAUUUCACUCCAAAAGAGUACAAGUGAAAUACUACAAGAGAGAAAGAAGAACAAAUGUCUUAGGAGAUGAGAAGGCAAGUUAGAGGUAUGUUACAAAUGAAUUUGGAGCUACCUAUUUAUAGUAGUGAAUUCUUCUUAUUGAUGUCAUCCAUGACAUCACAAUAUGUCAAAAUGUCAACAUUUACCUUGUGAAAUCAAUUUAUGGUUCACCUAAAUUUCACCUACUAAAGUUGCUAUCUUGACUUUUCUACCAAUGAAGAAUUAUCCUCCUAACUACCAUAUCUUCUCAUUAAUCCAUUUUUGAAUCUUGUCAAAUUUAACAAAUCUCCACCUUGGCAAGAUUCUUCAUUUUCAACUUCCUCUCAACAACAAUUUUGAUUGUGUCUUCAACCUUAAUCUUCAAUGUUCAACAAUGUUGAUCAAGUUCAAACAAUGUUAAAACUUGACCGCAGUCACCACUUUUGUCAACAUAUCGGCUGGAUUAUCUGUAGAAUGAAUUUUCUACAUUAUGACUCCACCAUCUUCUAUGAUUUCUCGUAUGAAAUGAUAUCAGACGUCAAUGUGCUUCGUCCUUGCAUGAUAAACUUGGUUCUUUGCUAAUUGAAUAGCACUCUGACUAUCACAAAAUAUUGUGAUUUCUUUUUGUCCAAUACCAAGUUCUCUAAGCAAUCCUUGAAGCCAAAUCGCUUCCUUCGCAGCCUCUGUAAUUGCCAUGUACUCUGCCUCAGUGGUAGACAAAGCAACUGUUGACUGCAAAGUAGACUUCCAACUAACUGGUGCAUUUGCAAUAGUGAAAACAUAACCAGUAGUUGAUCUUCGUUUGUCCAAAUCACCUGCAUAAUCUGAGUCACAAUAUCCAACAAGAUAUUGACUAUCUUUCUGCUCGAAAACCAGCCAACAUCUACAAUAUUAUGAAUAUACCGUAGAAUCCAUUUUACAGCCUGCCAAUGAUCCUUUCCAGGAUUGUGCAUGUACCUGCUUACAACUUCAACAGCGUGUGAAAUAUCUGGCCUUGUGCAAACCAUUGCAUACAUCAAGCUACCAAUAGCAUUAGCAUGGUACUCUUGACAUAUAUUUUCGUUCAGCUUCAUUAUUAGGGGAUAUAGCAUCACUAAGCUUAAAAUGAGGAGCAAGCAGAGUGCUAACCGACUUCGUUUUUUUAUUCAUAUCGAAUCGCUUUAGUACUCUCUUCAAAUAUUCCUUUUGAGAUAAAUAGAGUUUCUUUGAAUGUCUAUCUCUUUUUAUCUCCACGCCAAGAAUCUUCUUUGCCUCACCCAAAUCCUUCAUCUCAAACUCCUUUCUUAGUUGAUUCUUUCGCUUCUCAAUUUCCUCUUGACUCUUAGAAGCUAUCAACAUAUCAUCAACAUAUAGGAGAAGGUAUAUAAAGGAAUUAUCUUCAAGCUUGCGCAAAUACACACAAUGAUCAUAUUUGCUUCUUAUGUACCUUUGGUGCAACAUAAACUUGUCAAAUCGUUUGUACCAUUGUCUAGAAGAUUGUUUCAAUCCGUACAAUGAUUUUUCAAGUUUGCGCACCAUAUUUUCUUUUCCAUCAACUUUGAAUCCUUCUGGCUGAGUCAUGUAGAUUUCCUCUUCCAAGUCUCCAUGUAAAAAUGCAGUUUUUACAUCCAAUUGAACUAGUUCCAAAUUUAACUGUGCUACCAAAGCCAACAAAACUCUAAUGGAGGAGUGUUUCACAACUGGAGAAAACACCUCAUUAUAAUCAAUUCCCUCCUUUUGAGCAUAUCCUUUAGCCACCAAUCUUGCUUUGUAGCGAACAUCUUCUUGGUUAGGAAAUCCUUCUUUCUUUGCAAAUACCCGUUUGCACCCAAUUGCUUUCUUGCCCUCUGGGAGAUUGGCCAAUCUCCAUGUAUGAUUCUGAUGAAGGGACUGCAUUUCUUCAUCCAUGGCAAUCCUCCACUUAUCUUCUUCUGAACUUUGGACUGCGUCUUUAUAAGUGGUAGGAAUGUCAUCAGCUACAAUUGAGUCCGCACAAGCCACCAUAUCUAUGAGUCGAGCAGGUUUUCUUAAUGUCCUUUUUGGCUUGCCGAUUGCUAUUGAUUCAAGUUGUGGUUGAGGUUCUUGAGAUGGAACCUCUUCUUCGACUGUCUCUCCUUCAAGAGGAAAUAUUCUGUAGUUUCCUCGUUUGAUCCCUGUGUUGGGAAAAUUAUCUUUCCCUCAAACUCCACCUGCUUUGAAGCACCAUCAAUUUGUUUGACUUCUUCAACUGUUACCUUAUUUGUCAAGGUAGAUUCAUCAAAGGUAACAUCCCUGCUGAAAAUGACUUUUCUUGUCUCUAGACACCAUAAACGGUAUCCUUUGACUCCAGAAGUAAUUCCCAUAAAUAAAGCUUUCUUUGCUCUUGGGUCCAAUUUUGACUCUCUUACAUGAUAAUAUGCAAUUGAGCCAAAUACAUAUAAAGAACCAUAAUCUUCAACAGGUUUUCCAUACCAUUUUUCAAAUGGUGUCUUCCCACCAAUAGCAGCAGAUGGUAGACGAUUAAUGAGGUGGCACGCAUAUGUUAUUGUCUCAGCCCAAAAUUCUUUGCCCAAGCCAGCAUUGGACAACAUACAUCGAACUUUCUCCAGCAAAGUUCGGUUCAUGCGUUCUGCCACUCCAUUCUGUUGUGAUGUAUUUUUACGGUGAAAUGUCUAACGAUGCCAUUUUCCUCACAAAUUUUCUGGAAAAGAUCAUUUUUGUAUUCGCCACCAUUGUCUGUGCGAAGACACUUGAUCUUUCUGCCACUUUGAGUUUCUAUCAUCGCCUUCCAUUUGAGAAAAAUUCCCAAUACUUCAUCUUUUGUUUUCAUCAUAUACACCCACAAUCUUCAAGAAAAGUCAUCAACAAAGGUUACAAAAUAGUGUUUCCCACCUAAUGAAGGUGUUUUGGAAGCACCCCAAACAUCCGAAUGAACAUAAUCCAAAAUACCUUUAGUAUUAUGGAUAACUGUUCCAAAUUUAACCCUUGUUUGUUUUCCCUUGAUACAAUGCUCACAAAACUCCAAGUUGCAAGUUUUUACUCCUUUUAGCAAUCCUUGAUCUGAUAAAGUUUUCAAGGAUUUCCCUCCAGCAUGCCCCAAGCGCAUAUGCCACAGCUUGGUCAUUUCUGCCUCCUUCUCGUCAUUGGAUGUUGUUGCCGCUGUCCCAAUAACUGUACUACCUUGAUAGUGGUACAUGUUAUUAUUUCUUCUAAUUGCCUUCAUUACCACCAGUGCACCAGAGCAUAUUCUCAUCACGCCAUUAUCUGCAAUGACUUUGAACCCCUUUGAUUCUAGGGCUCCUACAGAAAUGAGAUUUUUCUUCAAAUCUGGUACAUAUCGAACAUCUGCUAAUGUUCUUCUUAAUCCAUCAUGGUUCCUUAAUCGGAUUGAACCAACACCAUAUGCAGUAAGAGGAUUAUUGUUUGCAGUGUGAAUAACUCCACAUUCUCCUUCUUGUAAAUCAAUAAACCAGUCCCGAUUAGGACACAUAUGAUAACUACAAGCUGAAUCCAUCAACCAUACAUCAGAUGAUUUGGAUGGAUCUGUUAUAAUUAGUGAGUAAUCGGAAUCAUCACAAUCAGCCACAUCUGAAUCCAUGACAGCCUUCCCAUUAUUUGGUUUGUCUUUGCUAUUCAACUUUGGGCAGUCUUUCUUCCAAUGCCCUUUUUCUCGGCAAAAGGCACAUUCAUCUUUGCUGAGUCUCCAUCUUGACUUGGAUCUCCCUUUCUUCGUUCUCAUAUUAUUUUGAGAACGACCUCUCACAACUAGUGCUUCUGCUUCUCCGCCUUUUUGUUUUUCUCUCUUUCUUUGUUCAUAACUGUAUAAGGCAGAACAAACUUCUUCGAGAGAUACUUCAUCAUUCCCAUGCAGUAGAGUCGUUUCAAGAUGAUCAAACUCAUCGGGAAGUGAACUUAACAACAUUAAGGCCAUAUCUCCAUCCGUAAAAGUCACGUCCAUAUUUCACAAAUCUGUCGCCAACUUAUUAAAGCUGGUGAUAUGAUCAUUCAUUGUGCUACCGGGAACAUAAGUGAAGCGUAACAAUCUUCUUUUCAUGUAAAGUUUAUUUUGACUGUUUUUCUUCAAGAAUUUCUCCUCCAAUGAAUUUCAUAAUUUAUUUGCAGAUGUUUCCCUUGUGUAUGGAUACUUUUGUUCUCUUGCAAGGUAAGAUCGAAUGGUACCGCAAGCAAAACGGUUGAUAAUCUUCCAAUCUUCUUCUCCUACACCAUCUGGUUUCUUUUCUUCAAUGGCAAUAUCUAGCCCUUGUUGAAAAAGAACAUCAAGGACCUCGCCUUGCCACAUUCCAAAAUGUCCUGACCCGUAUAAAAUUUCAACUGCAAAUUUUGCAUUUGACACAAUUCUUGUCAUAAGCGAAGAUGCCAAUGAUGACGUAUUAUUGACACUUGAUGUGGACUCAUCAUUGUUCUUCUCUCCCAUUUUACUACAAAUACUAUUUACUAGCUAACAAUGCAAAGACCAAAGUAAAUCUCUUUCUGAUGUGGAAGUUCAGACUAUGCUGCAACCACAGAGCAUACUCAGAUAAUACCUUGGCUUUGAUACCAAUUGUUGCGGAAGCCGAAUAUAUAGAGAGUGAUGGAAUUACAAUUACUAUAUCUAAAGGUAGCUAAUAAAUAGUAAAUGAGACAACAAGAGAAAGAACACCAGGAAUUAACGAGGUUCGGUAAACUUUUGUUUUCUUUUGCCUACUCCUCGGACACAACCAACCAAUAUUUAUUUCACUCCAAAAGAGUACAAGUGAAAUACUACAAGAGAGAAAGAAGAACAAAUGUCUUAGGAGAUGAGAAG